GUGGGGAAUCUUCCGCAAUGGGCGAAAGCCUGACGGAGCAACGCCGCGUGAGUGAUGACGGCCUUCGGGUUGUAAAGCUCUGUUAUAUGGGACGAACGGGCAUGGGGCCAAUACCCUCAUGCAGUGACGGUACCGUAAGAGAAAGCCACGGCUAACUACGUGCCAGCAGUCGCGGUAAUACGUAGGUGGCAAGCGUUGUCCGGAAUUAUUGGGCGUAAAGGGCGUGUAGGCGGCCAGACAAGUCUGUCUUAAAAGGGCGGGGCUCAACCCCGUGAUGGGAUGGAAACUGUCGGGCUAGAGUGUCGGAGAGGAAAGCGGAAUUCCUAGUGUAGCGGUGAAAUGCGUAGAUAUUAGGAGGAACACCAGUGGCGAAAGCGGCUUUCUGGACGACAACUGACGCUGAGGCGCGAAAGCCAGGGGAGCAAACGGGAUUAGAAACCCGAGUAGUCC
rnacentral:rRNA from 1 species